GCUGAUGGUUGGGUGGGGGGAAGGAAAAAUAGCAACUUAGCAGACAAGUUUACCAGGUAAGGAGUGAGUGGGUGGGGAGGGUUCCCGCGGGCCAUGUGGGCGGUACAGCCUUGUAUUCUGGCACAGCCAGGAUUAAUUGCUUUGGGAGGGGGUCCUUUGGAGGUGACAUUUCUCUGCAGCCCACCAAAAUUUUCUCACGGACCACUAGUGGGCCAUGGCCCACCGGUUGGCAACCACUGCUCUAUAGGACAGAGCAAUGAAAACAAUAGCGGGAAACAUAUAUGGAAGUCACAAUUGGCAGCAGUAAGCCACGAUACCUGGCCUUUCCCCCAAUUCCCCCCAAAUGCUAUGCACAGCUGGGAUGCAUACUUUUUCAGGAGUUUGGUGGGGACAGUUUUGGAAACCAUUUCAGCUGACGUCUUUAGUUCAUUAUUUGCUGGAAGCAGAAUGGACAAAGAAGGGAGGAGACAAACAUUCAUACCGUUGUCUCAUUUUGGAGAGAAAGGAAUCUUCUGCCCACUGCCAGUUCUCAUCUCUAUUUUUUUUUUUUUUUUUUUUGUGAAACGAAACAUGCAUCAGCUAGAUUUCACCAUGCCUCUUAUUUUCUGCAGGAUCACAGACAUGUCCAAGGCAUCCAUGAGUAGCCGGCCUGAGUCUGGCUAUGAAAACAUGGACCAUUUCUCUAUCAAUGUAGAUCACGUUGCUGAAAUGCUGAGAACUAUUGAAUUUCAGACAGAUAUUUCUGGAGAAGAAACUGAGUCUGAAGGAAUUAUCGCAGAAGGAAGUGUUGAAGCUGGAGAGGAAGACCAUCCAGAAGGAUCAGAGGGGCCUGAAGGAGCAGAAGAUGGAGAGAACCUGUCUCGAUUCAGACCAAAGCCACCUAAUAUACCACCUCGGGGACAACACUGAAAAGUCACUUUGAAGACGGAAGCAGUUGGAGAAUGUUCCGGUCAGCCCCAUCCCAUGCUUCUUCCUCCACUCCAGCAGACGUUUUUCUUGCUUCCUACUAAAUUUUCUUUCUCUGUGCAUCUUUUUCUUGCUUCCUUCUAUGCUCUUUUUCUCCCCAUACCAUUUGGCUUUUUAAUAUAUGGAGAUAAUAAAGUUGUGAGUUAUUUUUGCUAACAGCAAUUCUGGCAAGGUUCGUUGGGUGAGAGAGAUUCUGUUGG
rnacentral:lncRNA from 1 species